rnacentral:tRNA from 1 species
GGGGAUUUAGCUCAGUGGUAGAGCGCUUGCCUUGCAAGCACAAGGCCCUGGGUUCAGUCCUCA